AAAAAAAGAAAGGAAACAUCUCUUCUAUCCGUGCUCUCCCUCUCCUCCCGAUCUCAGCCGCCAGAGGUGCCCGACGCGGGGUGACGCUCGAUCCGGUGCCGCGCCGGCCGCGGUGGGGGACGAGCUCGCCCUGGUGGAGACGCGACGGAUCCACCAGUCCAUCCCCCGCUCGCCGUACGCCCCGACCUCCACCAGAAGCAUUGGAGAGGAUGGAGGCGCACAUGUGUUUUUGGGCUGCCACUCGGCCGGAAUUAAUGGAGAUGGGGGCGAUGGUGGGUAUGUGGACGGGGCCGCGCGGUGCAACACGGGGUGGGAGGCACAUCAAGCGUAGCCCUGCUAAAGCUUCCGGCAGAAUUUCCGUCCCCACCACGGGCGGCCGCCUGAUCCCCUCCGUGCCGCCACACCAGAACGGGGAUUACUCCCACGUGGCGGAAGGCCAUGAGCUUGGAUGUUGGGGAGUGGCUGGCGGAGGAUACGGUGAACGCUGGGUGGGGGCUGGCUAGCUCUGCCGUUGCCAAUUUUGGUGUUCUGCGUGAGUGGAAUUUUUGGUUCGCUACGUCCAUGUGCUUGGUGCACUGGGGUGUGAUUAGAACGGGCCUACAUGGUGCUCGCCGUCGAUGAUGCCGUUUCUCGGCUCUCGUCGCGGCCAUGAUCUUACAUCUGUUGCUGUUCAUGGUGAUUAGAAUGGGUAUUCCGCCAGAUUGCGUGUGUUUGCUCCUGCUAGGACAUGGGAUUGUCUAAUGUGUCCGCCUGUGCGAGAUUUGCGGCUAUUGGGAUUGCAAUUGCUUCGUCCAUUGUCAAUCACUCCUUUCUUGCAUGUUAGGAUUCUCUGUACUAAACUGACACUUGGUUGGAUUUACUCUUUCAUGGCUCUAUGAAAAAUCUAGCACGACUAAUCUCAUGUGGCCGCUGGAGGACUACUUGCCAGUUCUUAUAGGAUUGGUGAAAGAAGGCGAGUAAUUGCUGAAAUUUGAUGUUGUGUUUGUGUUUUCAUUUUGCUGGUUUGCAAUUCUAUUUAUUUUUCCUUUCCAUGAAUACUGUAAAAUGUGCAGGUACUGACUUGAGGCUCAGUUCGUUUGGGCUAGCCAAGAGGACGAGGUAAGCUAAGUGACAUGCGCCAAAGUUUUCUGUUAUAUAAUGACCUGUUAGUGCUUAGCUAAACUACAUCAAACAAUCAUCGUGGAUGGAUGGUACUAGGUGUUGUCCGUGCUGCAUUUGAUGGCCAUGGUCAAAAGCCAACUCUUCCUCCUCCGGGAUCGAUUUCAUUUCCAGCUUGCUCUGCCACAGAUGGAUCUUCAGUCAUCCAUGCCGUUCGUGUUGUGCUCCCGUCACCGGCCGUGUGUGAGUGGUGUGACCUGCACACUCUAUUGGCGGAGGAAGCAGGCAGUUGCAGGCAGAGGAAGCAGCUUGCUACUUGCAGAGGAAGAUUAGGAUUGCAUAGCACGAUUAGAAUGGCUCAUUUUAUGGUUUUGGUCUGGAUCGGUAAACCGUGAAUUGAUAUUUGUUUCUUGGUGCAGGAGCUUCAAGGCAACAGGGUUAGCAGGAUUCAUGCCAACAAAUUCUAUGAUUUCCUUCCCAAAUCUGAAAUUGUACAUGCACUCGUGUAUGAAUGUUGACAAUUUGAUUGCAGCGGGGACUGGCAAAUAAAGUGCAGUGCUCAUCGUUGCAUAUAUAUUCAGGCCAACAUCAAACUUCGGUAUGAGGAUCAGGCAGGUAGCUUCAUGCAUCAUUGGAUAUGAGAAUUGCUUACUAUAUAUUGGGAAUUGUUUCUGUUUCUUGGAGAUAUUAACCGUAGCUUCUUAUUAGUGCCAGCAUGGUGAAAGAGCUAUAUUGUUGUGCCUUUCUUGGAUUCAGAUUCUUCUAUUCCAUAUGGUCACAAGAAACUUGAGAGUAUUUCACAAAUCUUUGCCUUGCCAAAAUAAGGGUGACUGCAAACUCACUUAUUCUAGCCUAUUUAGUUUCUGAUUGCUCACUUUCUUAUUUAUGUGCUGAGUUAGGAGUUUACACAGAUUAAAGGUAUGGUGGAACUGUACAUGCCACAGCCAAAAUAUGGAACUGUCCUCUCGCCCCUGCCAUGUCGUUGUUCUAUUACACAACUGAUGACAUCGGCCUCUGAAGCUGCUCAUAGUCGCGGGGAUAGACUGACUUGUAGCAAAGAGCUGGCCACUGAAGAUUAGUUCGUGCAGGGGCGAAUCAUGAUCCAGAAGCAACGGUAGACAAUACAAAGUACAGAAAACAUUUCCAAAGAGAUAGCAGAAUACCAAUGUGUGUAGAGAGUAUUUACAUGAGCAUAGAAGAAUGCAAAAAUAUUCGUGGCAUAAACAACUUGAUUACAACAUGGUAGUUGUUGUAUUUCCAGUUCAUACUUUCUGUUUUUUUUGUUACAAUAUAGCAAUCCUUCACAUUAUUUGGAAAGAAGAUACCUAAACCUUUCUGUUUGUUGCCUGAGAAAUAUAUGUAGUACUCUACUGAGCUCUUACUGAAAUUCUAAUAGUAUUUGCUUUUCUUCUCUUUUGGUGCCAAAAACCAAAUAAAAAAUCAGUAAGUAAAAUAAUUUGUGGUAGUCUGAAGGAGUUACAGUUGGCUGCACAACGCAUGGGUUGGAUUAUUGUUUUUUUCUCAAUGACAGAGUUGUAGAGUUGCACCGUGAGAGUGUAUUGGGAAGCUACUAAUUGUGAGAGGGUAGUCCUGAUGUUCAGAGCAUGUGACCAUCAUGUGUUGGUCCAUUGAACCUUGAUUUUCUCUCUCUCAGAGAAACGUGGAAGCUGGAAGGUAAUGAGAUAUGUAUUCCCGCCAGUGUUAUAACCAUAACUUCAUAAUUAUGCAUGCAAUUGUUAUUUGAUCUAUUUCACAUGUUUCCUUGCUAUAUUCAUCCAGUCUUAAAUCCAAAAAGGUGAACAUUAGUCAUUACUCUUAAUAAUAAUUUGUGGCUUAGCAUCAUGCAUAAACGUUAUUACCAUAAAAACUGUAAAUUGGAGUCUUCUAUGAAACUAUUUUUCUUGCAAUUCCUACUCUUAAAGUCAGAGUUUAUAAAUGGAAAUGUCUAAAUUAAAUUCUGCUAUUAUAUCCAUUCACACAAAUACCUCGACGAUUUUCAGUUGUUAAUACAUAAAGAACAAUAAGCAUGUCUCGGGUUGGUACACAAAUAGAAUCCCAAAUAACGGAAAAGAAAAACAAAAUGUUCAAAACAAUAUCGCACGUAAGUAUAUUUAGACGGCAUUUUUUUAUGAACAUCAUCUUUUAUCAAGUUAAUAUAUCUUUUAUUAAGCAGAACAAUGUUCAGGUUUACGAAAAAAACUAUUUAAGGUUUGGGAUAAAGUUGUUCUAGCUUCCAAGAAUUGUUCCAAGUCCAUGAGGAAAAUAUCCCAGGUUUAGGGAAAAUAUUUAUCCAUGUUUAUGAUUAUUUCUUAAUGAGCCAGCGACAACAGUUAACCUAAUCAGAUUAAGAUGUCUUGAAUUAAUCUCAGACAAUUAAUACACCAUCAUGACUAGAUAGCACCUCAAACAGUUGACGUGGCAAUACAACUAGGAAAGACCUGAACUGAACAAACAUACAUUUCUCAGUCGUUUUGCAAAAAUGGUCCUGUUGAAAGCACAAUUUUUUUUCAUGUUGGGAAUAAUUGAUGUGGGAAAUGAAGCCAUCAGUUGUAUUUUCAGCCAUACUUACUACUCCCUCUGUUCCCAAAUAUAAAUAUUUCUAGAGAUUUCAACAAGUGACUACAUACGGAGCAAAAUGAGUGAAUCUAAACUCUAAAAUCUGUCUACAUACAUCCGUAUGUUGUAGUACAUUUGAAAUGACUAAAAAGACUUAUAUUUAGAAACAGAGGGAGUAUCUGAUAGGGAAAUGUGAUGGAGUUUUCUUCCAUUGCAACAAAUUUAAGGGCGUGAUAAAUAUUUCUCCCGUUGCAACGCACGGGCUCUUUUGCUAGUCUUUCCCUAAUAAUAAAGCACGGAUUGGGUCCCCGGGUUCACCGUCGCGGCGUUUUACAUAAAGGCCCCUCUGAUUUUAUGAAUUGAACCCGCCGUCCCUUGUUAAGUAAAUUUAAAAAAAAACGCUUCAUUUUUUCAUAAAACACCCUGUCGUUUGGACUAUUCAACCCGCGGUCCGAGCUGAUUUGUAAAGAAAAAAAGAACACGACACGGGCUCGCCUCCUCUGCCUCUCGCGAAGUCCCACUAAGUCAUCGCCGCCGCCGCCACCACCCACGCCGGCCGCUUCCGGCGACCUCCGGCGCCGCGCAGCGCGCCCCGGAGCUCCCCACGGUCCGCGCAUCCCUCCCCUCCGGCCAGAUUCUCUGCUCCCGUCCUCUGCCGCUUGCUCGCAACGGGAGCCCCCGAUUCGACCUCCCCUGCUGCGCCACCGCUCCCCAAUGGCCGCGCCGCCCAAGAUUCUCGCCGGGGCCCGGGGCCUCUCGCAGCCGCACCCUUCCCCUUCACGCGCCCCCCAUGCCAUCGUUUCUAUGGGUGCUCAAAUCCAUGGCUCUGGCGGCAAGCCGUAGGCCGGAUGAGCCGGCGGCAUACAGAGAAGGGGAAGGAGGUGGAGGUGGAGGUGGAGGUAGCGGCGGCGGCAGCGGCGGUGGAGGUGGAUGGGGACAAAUUCGACUACAACAUAGAGGAUUGCCGCCGCAGGUUCCAGGCCGUCUACCCUGGUGAAUCGUUCAAGCACGACGCCUAGGGUUCCCCAUCGCUAUCCUUUGGUUCGCCUCUGGUGUCUACCACGACGUUCCAAUCGCCAGAGUCGGAGCCCCGCCAUCGUCCAAUCCUCGACUUGGGGCCGUCUCUCAUCAAUUCCAGCCAUUAGAGCACUGCACCAACAAAGGGAACCCAAGAGCAGCUCCUCGCGAAAAUCCUCCAUCGCAUCGAAUUUUUGAGUUCUUCCAGAACUUCGGUGAGAUUGCUUCUGCACUGUUCGUCACAGGACGGUGAGUUCCUUCUCGCUGAAACAUCUCGGUAUAUUAUGUUUGGCAUCAAUUUUUUAGCCCCCUACCAAUUGUUGUCAAAAGUAGGCCUGGCAUUGUCAAAAUAGCUUUUGAGGGAUUUUUUUUAGAAACAAACUUCUGCGAGGCACAACCAUAAUCUGUGUGUUAGAAAUAAGCUUUGUUCAUGUAUAUUAUUAUGCCCAAUUUAAAACUGAGUAUGAUCAGAAUGGUUUCAUUAUGGUUAUUGUGACUUGUGACUGAAGGACUAUGCCAUUGUUGCCCCGUAAAGAUUUGUGCAGGUCCAUACUUCCUUUUUCCAAUGUGGUCGAGGUCUCUAGCAAGGAUACCCUCCCUGGGGUGUUCCGCAACUUCGUGGACUGCGUCUGCUCACCCAACGCCAGUGGAGAUCCGCUGCUGCAACACCUCAAGGAAGCGUCCUGCAACACAGCGCAACGGCCGCAGGAUUGUCCUUCAGGAACUCGGCACCUGGACCUAGGCAGGGCAACGUCGUCUGUGCUAUCCUUGUCUUCCUGGUCCAUGCUUCCUUUUUUUGAAGUCUGCGCGGUCGAGGUCUAUGGCAAGGACGCCCUCCCUGGGGUAUUCCGCAACUUCAUGGACUGCAUCUGCUCACCCGACGUCAGUGGAGAUCCACUGCUGCGACGCGUCAAGGAAGCGUCCUGCACAGCGUAGCGGCCGCGGGGUCAUCCUUCAGGAACUUGGCGUGCGACCUGCUCACCUAGACUUGGCGGGGCAGCGGCGUCUGUGCUAUUCUCGUCAUCCUGGGGCGAUCGGCAAUAUCAACGGAUGAUUCUUUGAAGGUUGUUGCAUCCAGGUCGAUGAUACCUGAAAUUCUUCGGAGUUCUUUUGAAUCGAAAGAUCAGGAAAUAAGCUUGUGGUGACUUUCUGAGGUUUUCGCAUUGGACCGUUUGGAACUUCGGAUUGGCAGAGAGCUAGAGACCCCGGUGCUCUGAAGGAUGUUGAAUUUGAGAACAGAAUUUAUUGUUGUUAAAUAAUAUUUGCUUCUUUCAUAUGGAAAAGUUAGCGUUGUUGGGAGCUCGAUGUUGCAGUGGGCCUUGACAGUGGCUAGCUGGGAGUUGGCGAGGUAGAUGUCGUCGUCGACAAGGGCCGUGACCUCAUCUCCUUUGGCCCCAAGUCCGACUACCACCACAACCAGACAUGCUCCUCCAUAGGCCUUGGAUUACUGUCAGCUACAAGAUAAAGUUCGGAGAAAGGAGCUAAAACUUGACUCACCAGGUCUGCUCUAUAUUGUACCAUACAGUUCAUAUUUUGGUAGUCUUGCUUCUUCGGAAAUUUCUGAAAUUCAAAGUUACCCUCAAAGUGGUAGAGAAUGGACAGAACUAGAGCAUGGGCUGUCAGCUUCUGUGUUGGUAGGGCAAUUCUUAGGCCCACCAAGAUACUGGUCCUGGACAAAGCCACUGCUUCGGUGGACAGUGCAACCGAUAACCUGAUCCAGAACACACUACAACAUCAUUUCUCAGGGUCAAUUGUCAUCACGACUGUGCAUCGAACAUUAAAACAAAACAUUGAUCCCCAUGUGGGUAGUGGGUACACAAACAUUGUCCUUUUGAUUUAUUUUUCCAGUAGAUGAUUGUGGACCAUGUUUUUUUUACUCCAUGCCCUUUUGCUGUACUACAUAAGACAAUAGAAAGCUGGUUCAUACAAGAAUGUAUGAACAUCUGGGUGCCUUCAUCAACAAAGGAAAAAAUAAACCAAAAAGUAGAGGUUGUGAAACUUCACUUAUAUAGAGAAGAUAGUUUGAGAGUAGUACUCAAUGAAUUUCUACUUAAGAUGAAGUUAUAAUUUAGGAAAUCUACUUCCUAAUACACCUAACCAUUUCUAAGUUGUACAAAUUCCAAAAAAAUGUUAACUCCAGCUUCACUCUGGUUGCCCUUUUGCUAAGGCCACAUAAGUUAUAUUGCUAUACUGAAGUGUUGAUAUUAGUAUAUGUAGCAAUAGCCUCUGCCAACAUUCUGAAAAUUGUAGCAUCCUUUAUACUAACAUUAAAUGUUUUGGAUGGUUCUGUUUCUUGAGCGGCUGCUCCCGUCCACGGCCUCCUUGAUCUCAGGAUCUGCUCCUUCUCCACGUCUGCCCACGAGGACAAGGAAGCACAGCGGUGGCCACUAUCACCGCCAGAAGGACCGUCCAUUAAGGCAGGAUGGUGUACAAGUUCCUCUUUUUUUCUAAGCUCAGGUUCCUCUUUCUUGCAUGAGUUAUUCUUAAGUAGGAUUUACAUUAGUUGGCGCAAUCUGAUUAACUUGAAUUUUUUUAUGGUGGCCACUAUAAUUUUCGUGAGUUUUUGUUGUUCGCCCGUUGCAACGCACGGGCACUUUUACUAGUAAUAAUAAAGCACGGAUUGGGUCUCCGGGUUCACCGUCGCGCUGGUUUUGUACAACGCCCCCUAAAGUUUUUGACAAUUAACCCGAGCUCCAGAUUUUAAGUUAGUAAAGUAAAAAACGAUUCGCUCGUUCACAGGACCCGGAGGCUGCUUCGCCACGCUCGGUCUCCACCUGCCCCAAUCUCCGCUUCUCCAGGCCGUCAUC